rnacentral:rRNA from 1 species
UACGUAGGGACCAAGCGUUGUUCGGAUUUACUGGGCGUAAAGGGCGCGUAGGCGGCGUGGUAAGUCACUUGUGAAAUCUCUGAGCUUAACUCAGAACGGCCAAGUGAUACUGCUGUGCUAGAGUGCAGAAGGGCAAUCGGAAUUCUGGUGUAGCGGUGAAAUGCGCAGAUAUCAGGAGGAACACCGGUGGCGAAGGCGGGUCUCUGGGCCGAUACUGACGCUGGAGGAGCGAAAGCCGUGGGAGCGAACAGG